rnacentral:rRNA from 1 species
UACAGAGGGCCCAAGCGUUGUUCGGAUUCAUUGGGCGUAAAGGGUGCGUAGGCGGCGCGGUAAGUCGGGUGUGAAAUCUCGGAGCUUAACUCCGAAACUGCAUUCGAUACUGCGGUGCUUGAGGACUGGAGAGGAGACUGGAAUUCAUGGUGUAGCAGUGAAAUGCGUAGAGAUCAUGAGGAAGACCAGUGGCGAAGGCGGGUCUCUGGACAGUUCCUGACACUGAGACACGAAGGCCAGGGGAGCAAACGGG